rnacentral:tRNA from 1 species
GCGGGCGUGGUGAAAUUGGUAAACACAAGGGACUUAAAAUCCCUCGGCCUCACAGCCUUGCCGGUUCAAGUCCGGCCGCCCGCACCA